GGGCCGAGGGCCACACUUCGCUGCCUUAACAGGCUCAGGCAGACUGGGCAUGUGGACGCACAGACAGCCCCGCCGGGUGACUCAUUGGCAUGGAUGGAAAAGAAACUAAAGUGAAACUCUGUGGACUUGUCACACUGGGCAUCACAUGGUGUGUCUGAGCCAACGCUGGCCCGACAUCUGCAUCCGGCAGCCACUGGGUUCUCCACCUCCGAGCAAAGGCUGGUGAGCGCCUGCCAGAAGGAUGCUGAGGGAUCGAGCUGAGCGUUCUGUCUGCCUUUCACAGUAGAAAUCCACAAUGAGGCUGAGAAUGUUUAAAACAACUAAAAUAAGCAUGCAGGAAAGAACUAUAUGUUUCAAUAAAAAGUGAUUUAGAGACAUUCUGUACCAGAAAUUCCUGUCCAAAAGAAACAGGAUACACAGAAAAGUGGAGCCCUACUGUUUACUUGGAGGAUGUUUAUUUGCUGUUGGUGACCUCUGCAGCCACAUGACAAGAAUUUAGGUUGUAAACCUGGGCACUUAAGCUGCAGUGCUGGGUGACCGAUUUUAAUUUGACCUUUAAAUCCAAGAGCAAGAUCAGGUUGGCGUGUGGAAUGCAGCUGUGCGUGGGGAGUCCAAUCACUGUGGCCAUUCUAACCAUCAAGAUGAAUCGCUGCCCGAUGAGGCCUUCUGAAGUGAUCAAUAUCAAUUUUCAAGGCAGCUGAAACAUCCCCAUCAGCCAUACGGUGGCCGGGCUCACUGUGCCACGUGGAUCCAGCUUCUCAGCUAAGGUGAAAUGGAGGAACACACAACUGCUCGGGGCAUCGCGGCCACGAAGGCGGGAAUCUGGGUCACGAGGAUCUUGCUCCGUAUGGUAUGUUGAUGGAAGAAAAAGAAAGAAAUUAUUUCCGAGUAAGAUGGGGGAGUGGAAGUUGAACCUUUUGGCUAAAAUUAGGCGAGAAGCUUAUCAGCGGCUCAGCAUAAGAGCAAGGAGCUUAAGUGACUGGCUUUGCUUCUGCACCAGGUCAAGGAGCCCCUCUUUUUGGUUUCUCUAGCACAAAGGUUUGUCAAAUACAUGUAUUUCUCUGCAUUUAAGCAGUUAUUAUUUCCCCUAACAUAGCAGACAAACAUUAACCCCAGAGCUGGCGCGAAAUAAGAAGGUUAUGAUGGAAUAGCACUUUGCGAGGGGAGCACUUGCACCUAUGGCACAGCGGAUCGAAGCAUCUAUCUUCCAGGACGGCAACUUCAGCCACCUGCAGGGCAGCUCCGCCCCGCCUCCCUUGUGCUGGGGCACCGAAGGAGGGCGCUGCGUGCACUCUUCACUGCGCUUCCAGGGGGCACGGCCACUGUGAGGACAGCCUUCCCCCUUUAUGUGGUCAGGAGCCCAGCAGAUACAGUGCAAGUUAUUAGAAAUUUGUAAGCCAGUGCAGUUCAUCUGUUUUCUCAAAUUGCUGAUCCUGAAAAAUGAAAUCAAUCGUAACCCAAUAAAGCCAGAGAAGGAUAUUUCUUUUACUUGCUUGCUUUCUAGGAGUGCCUGCCAAGUUAGAAAUCUACAUAAAUGAAAUAUAAAUUACCUGUAAAUUAAAGCACUAGAAAAAUCCUAAAAGUUCUCUCAAUCAUGCA